rnacentral:tRNA from 1 species
GCCCGGGUGGCUCAGUCGGUUAAGCGUCCGACUUCAGCUCAGGUCACGAUCUCACGGUUUGUGGGUUCGAGCCCCACGUCGGGCU